rnacentral:rRNA from 1 species
GAUGAACGCUGGCGGCGUGCCUAAUACAUGCAAGUCGAGCGAAUGGAUUAAGAGCUUGCUCUUAUGAAGUUAGCGGCGGACGGGUGAGUAACACGUGGGUAACCUGCCCAUAAGACUGGGAUAACUCCGGGAAACCGGGGCUAAUACCGGAUAACAUUUUGAACCGCAUGGUUCGAAAUUGAAAGGCGGCUUCGGCUGUCACUUAUGGAUGGACCCGCGUCGCAUUAGCUAGUUGGUGAGGUAACGGCUCACCAAGGCAACGAUGCGUAGCCGACCUGAGGGGGUGGUCGGCCACACGGGGACUGGGACACGGCCCAGACUCCUACGAGAGGCAGCCGUAGGGAAUCUUCCGCAAUGGACGAAAGUCUGACGGAGCAACGCCGCGUGAGUGAUGAAGGCUUUCGGGUCGUAAAACUCUGUUGUUAGGGAAGAACAAGUGCUAGUUGAAUAAGCUGGCACCUUGACGGUACCUAACCAGAAAGCCACGGCUAACUACGUGCCAGCCGCCGCCGUAA